AUUGAACGCUGGCGGCAGGCCUAACACAUGCAAGUCGAGCGGAUGAAGGGAGCUUGCUCCUGGAUUCAGCGGCGGACGGGUGAGUAAUGCCUAGGAAUCUGCCUGGUAGUGGGGGCUAACGUCCGGAAACGGGCGCUAAUACCGCAUACGUCCUGAGGGUGAAAGUGGGGGAUCUUCGGACCUCACGCUAUCAGAUGAGCCUAGGUCGGAUUAGCUAGUUGGUUGGGUAAAGGCCUACCAAGGCGACGAUCCGUAACUGGUCUGAGAGGCUGAUCAGUCACACUGGAACUGAGACACGGUCCAGACUCCUACGGGAGGCAGCAGUGGGGAAUAUUGGACAAUGGGCGAAAGCCUGAUCCAACCAUGCCGCGUGUGUGAAGAAGGUCUUCGGAUUGUAAAGCACUUUAAGUUGGGAGGAAGGGCAGUAAGUUAAUACCUUGCUGUUUUGACGUUACCAACAGAAUAAGCACCGGCUAACUUCGUG
rnacentral:rRNA from 1 species